CCCUCCCACACCGGAAAUUGAAGCGGUAACCUUUGCACUCUGCAAACACCGCAUGUGAACCCUAAAAUGCGCGGUAACAUUCACUGUGGUUCUAAAGCCGUGAUUGAUUCUAUCCAUUCUGGUCAAAUAAAAUAGGGACUUGGCAGCUAUUAAAAGACACGGUGUAUUGUCUGAUUGAGAGGUUCACUAUAAAUGCGUCACACACACACACUAAGUAGUAGUAGCGUAAGUUGCUGUCUUGAUGGACGAGCCGAUAACUUCGCAGCCAGGGGGUACAUGUUUGUGAGACAUAAGGUAAGGUAACAUCCAUUUAUUUUUAUCCGUCAUUUUUUGUUACAAAUACUGAAGUAAUGCUACUUUAUACAGAUCAUACGUAAACGAUAACAUAUAUCGAUAUAAAAUUACCCUUGUAAUUUUAAUAAAUGUCAAAAACCCCUUCAAGCAACUGGUUUUGCCGAGAUCUUCCGGGCAUUUUCAUGUUGUAAAUACGGGGGACGUCGAUUUUGUGCUACUGGAAUUAAAGACAUAUUUUUGAACAAAUGUUGCAUUUUCCUAGUUUAAGGGUGACUCUUUGAUAAUUAAUUCCAAAACAAGAAAAUAUUGGCUUGCUAGAACUGACAAAAUCAACGCACUUUUCUGAAGUGUGAUUUGGUACGGUCCGCACAAGUUUCGCGCCAUUUCUAUCAUUUCGGCGCCGUUCGUCUUUCAAUUUCUGUCACAGAGGACACAGAGCGGUCACAGAGCAAACAAGAAACACGACCAAACGACAUCCAUCCACAUCUGCAAUAACAUACCCAGUACCCACAAAACAUCUGAAGUCCGGUAGCACAAUGAUCCUCACGCUGCAGACUGUGCAUCACAGUGACAUAGCUGCACUUGUUGUAGCACAGGAAGACCCACCGGAGAUGAAGGUCCAAGUGUACCAACGCCCCGGAGCCCCAAUCGCCGGGUUGAUGAUGUACGCUAGGUUGGACGGCACGUGGUACCCAUGCGGUUGGAUUCGCGAGAAGAACAAGGACUCUGUCCUUAAUUUGUCAUCGGAAGGGGGCUUAGAAAGCCUGAGCUGUGUCCUACAAGACCGGUACACUAAGAAAGGCUACCAUGUCUUAAAAGUUAGCAUACUUUAGAGCCUUAUCAAAAUGUUUUGACGGCACUACAAUUCACUACAUUACAAUAUUUAAACAGCACUAAAGUUUACUACGUUAUAAUAGUUAAACAUUGGUUGAAAUUUCUAACCACAAGUAAUAAAAUUGUAAAUGUAAUAGAUGUUUAAAAGCUACACACUG